rnacentral:rRNA from 1 species
UACAGAGGGUGCGAGCGUUAAUCGGAAUUACUGGGCGUAAAGGGCUCGUAGGUGGCCAACUAAGUCAGACGUGAAAUCCCUCGGCUUAACCGGGGAACUGCGUCUGAUACUGGAUGGCUUGAGUUUGGGAGAGGGACGCGGAAUUCCAGGUGUAGCGGUGAAAUGCGUAGAUAUCUGGAGGAACACCGGUGGCGAAGGCGGCGUCCUGGACCAACACUGACACUGAGGAGCGAAAGCCAGGGGAGCAAACGGG